rnacentral:rRNA from 1 species
CGAGUGCUCCAAGCGUUAUCCGGAAUUAUUGGGCGUAAAGGGUGUGUAGGCGGUUGUGUUAGUCUUUUGUCAAAGCCUUCGGCUUAACCGAAGAUCUGCAAAAGAAACGGCACGACUAGAGGAUGCGAGAGGUGAAUGGAACUCAUGGAGUAGGGGUGAAAUCCGUUGAUAUCAUGGGGAACACCAAAUGCGAAGGCAAUUCACUGGCGCACUCCUGACGCUGAGACACGAAAGCGUAGGUAGCGAAUGGGAUUAGAUACCCCAGUAGUCUACGCCCUAAACGAUGAUCGCUAGGUUUUCGGAGUAUCGACCCUCUGAGAGCCGAAGCUAACGCGUUAAGCGAUCCGCCUGGGUAGUACGGCCGCAAGGCUA